AGGCUGAAGCCCGCUGGCUUGGGUGUUUAGUUGUUAACUAUCUUUUUACGGGAUCGAGGCCCGUCGGCCUAGUG
rnacentral:tRNA from 1 species